rnacentral:RNase_P_RNA from 1 species
UUGGACAGGUGAUCGUCGGCGGCCGUGUGCCGCGGGAGGAAAGUCCGGACACCACAGGACACGGUGGUGGGUAACCCCCACCGGCCCACUCGUCGCGGGUCAGGGAAAGUGCCACAGAAAGCAAACCGCCUUCAGCGUGUCUGGGGGUAAGGGUGAAAGGGUGCGGUAAGAGCGCACCGCCCGCUCGGUGACGAGCGGGGCAGGGCAAACCCCACCGGGUGCAAUCGCAAGCAGGCUCCUUCGUCCCAUUGUCCGUGGGUUUGGUGCCGGGUCGCGAGCUUGAGGCCGUCAGAAAUGGCGGUCCUAGAUGAAUGAUCACCCCUCGCUGAGCGAGUUACAGAAUCCGGCUUACGUCUGAAUGC